GGAAUUGUAAAAAAUUAUUUGGGGGUUUUCCUAAAGCAUUUAUCUGUCAACCUAUUCCAUCCCUUUCUUCUAAUCUUAACCCUUUUCUUUUGACUACU